rnacentral:rRNA from 1 species
AGCUCCAAUAGCGUAUAUUAAAGUUGUUGCGGUUAAAAGCUCGUAGUUGGAUUUCUGUCGUCGGUUGGCGCUCCGUCCCUAGUGGCGUGCAGACGCCCUGCCGGCGGCAUCUUCCUGGGGGGUGCUGCUGCACUUCAUUGUGUGGCGCAUUAGCCAGGACGUUUACUUUGAGGAAAUGAGAGUGUUUCAAGCAGGCGUACGCCAUGAAUAUGUUAGCAUGGAAUAAUAGCAUCGGACCUCGUGCCACAGCUGUUGGAUCCUUGGAACGAGGUAAAGGUGAAUAGGGAUUGUUGGGGGCAUUCGUAUUUAACUGUCAGAGGUGAAAUUCUUGGAUUUGUUGAAGACGGACUACUGCGAAAGCAUCUGCCAAAGAUGUUCUCA